rnacentral:rRNA from 1 species
CCUACGGGAGGCAGCAGUGGGGGAUAUUGCACAAUGGGGGAAACCCUGAUGCAGCGACGCCGCGUGUGGGAAGACGGCCCUCUGGAUUGUAAACCACUGUCACCAGGGACGAAAAUGACGGUACCUGGCGAGGAAGCUCCGGCUAACUACGUGCCAGCAGCCGCGGUAAUAGGUCGGGAGGGAGCGUUGUCCGGAAUUACUGGGUGGAAGGGGAGCGUAGGCGGGGAUGCAAGUUGGGUGUCAAAACUACGGGCUCAACUGGUAGUCGCACUCAAAACUGCAGCUCUUGAGUGAAGUAGGGGCAGGCGGAAUUCCUAGUGUAGCGGUGAAAUGCGUAGAUAUUAGGAGGAACACCAGUGGCGAAGGCGGCCUGCUGGGCUGUUACUGACGCUGAGGCUCGAAAGUGUGGGGAGCAAACAGGAUUAGAUACCCGGGUAGUC